rfam:Triticum aestivum genome assembly, contig: Triticum_aestivum_CS42_TGACv1_scaffold_579849_7BL
AUACCUUUCUAGGCCUCUUGGCUAAGAUCAAGUGUAGUAUCUGCUUAUAUUAAGUGAAAUUUUCAUGGGGAGAAUUUGUUUAUGUAGCAUGUUACAUGGACGGUUCUCAUGUUUCGGCUAAGCGUUGCACUAUUGCUUGGAAUAGGCGCAUCCCAA